rnacentral:rRNA from 1 species
UGAGGAAUUUUCCGCAAUGGGCGAAAAGCCUGACGGAGCAAUGCCGCGUGGAGGUGGAAGGCCUACGGGUCGUCAACUUCUUUUCUCGGAGAAGAAACAAUGACAGUAUCUGAGGAAUAAGCAUCGGCUAACUCUGUGCCAG